rnacentral:rRNA from 1 species
GUUUCGUUUAAAAAAUCACACUUUCAUGCUGGACGCAAGUGAACACCAUCACUCUCAAAAGUGAACCACUUUCGAGAACCAAACACACUGCACGUGUUGAUGUAGUCGACUGAUUUUUGAGACACACAAACAAAUUGCACUUCAUACCGAGUGGUAAUAAGCUGCUACACAAAUUAAAGUGAACAACUUUUUCGCCAAACCUAAAAAAAAUGCUUAUGGAAUGCGUCGAGAGGACUCCGCACUGCGUCAACAACACCCAAACCUGCACCAAAAUGCACUCCGCACUGCAAGAGUUUCCUGUACAUCCAAAAUCCCAAACAAAACAGCAAAAAUGUUUUUUUCUCAUGGAAUGCAGUUUUCUACCUUUCUUCUGUUUUCUCUUGCAAAAGAGUAAGCUGGACUACUGUAAUAGCCAAGAGUGAGCCACACUCAAGGUUUUGUUUAAUUUCUUUGAAGAGAGAAACAACGCUCCCUUACAAGCGUGUUGCAACCGAGCUGGUCACAUGCCGAGCUGCAUGGAAAGAAAUUCUUCUUUCUCCUUUUCCCUGUGUUUAUGCUCUCCUACCAAAACCACAACAAAGCUGAAUCACAAAAAAACAGGGACUGAACUUCAAGCAUGUUAGUUUAGGGAUUAAUUCAGAGAGAAAACUGUAAGUAAUCGGUGUGCUGGCAUACUGCAUAUCACCUAUGCGUGUCGUCGCCCUCCUCAUGUCAGUGUACUGCAAGCACGCGCACAACCAUGGAGGCGCGAACACGGAUCGAGGAGGAUCCCUCGCGUGAAUGAAGAUGCAGAGGGGAGCGAGAGGCGUCAGCUAGUGGACCCGGCUUGGACACCGUGAGUUGUGGAGGGGGCGUCACCGACGAACUGCAUGGGUGAUGAGAGAGAGCUGCGGUGUCAGCUGAAGUGCACGCCGACCGGAUCAAGUGGGGUGACGGCCGUGACUACCCCAACCUCCACGGCGGUCUUCGGCUAUGCUCGGAGCGACGCCAUGGAUCUCCGGUGGAUCUGGAGCUGCACUGCAUCACCGCCGGGGGCCAAACUGCACACCCGAGAAGAAGUCCAUGGCCGGAUCUCGCCAGGAUCUGAUGAUUUCCCGGGGCGCCACCACAGGAGGUAGGCUUGGUGGGCCAGGUGACUUGCCGUAGGGGUAGGGGUAGGGGUACGAGGUGUUGAAGGAGAUGGAGGAGUCCAAGCUGGAGAGGUCGUCGUCGCCGUCAUGGGGGUAGGAGAAGGGGGCCCAGGAGAAGAGCUGCCGCGACGGCCCUCCACCGUGGGGACUGGUGGAGGCUCGAGACCACCAUGGGCCUUUCCCCUCCGCCGUUGAACUCCACCAAGAUGAGCCGCUGUCCACCGAGAUGAGCGCGGGGCGGGGCGGAUCUCGCCGGAUCCGAUGCCACGAGGGGUGCGGCGGUGCCGCGAGGGAGGGUCGAGGUUCGGUGGUGGCUGCGAGGGAGGCUGGCGGCACGGGCCAUGAGGUGGUGGGGAAGGGGAUGCACAACAGCCGUCGGGCGUGGUUUGGGGCAUGGCGGCGAUGUGGGGUGGGGAAGGAGAGGCGCGGAGGCCGUAUGGAGAGGAGGCACGGCCGUGGCUAGAUGGUGGCGCGGGGCCCUGGCGGCGGCAGCGGUGGCUUCAGGGCAAGGCGGAGGUGGCUGCGAUGGCUCGGCGGAUCGGGGCGGCGCCGGGUGGUCGGCGCGGCUGCGCAGAGGAAGGCAGGGCGAUGCGGGGUCCUGGCAACCGCAGGAGGAAGAAGGUGGGAGUGGAGGUGGGUUGUGGGUCGGGUGGGCACGAGCGGCGUAGAUGGUAGUGGUAGGUUUUUG